AGCAGCCGCGGUAAUUCCAGCUCCAAUAGCGUAUAUUAAAGUUGUUGCAGUUAAAAAGCUCGUAGCUGAAUUUCGGGGUUAGUAAGUUGGUCAUGCCUUCGGUAUGUACUGGCUUUACUGAUUCCUCCUUCUUGACGAACCGUGAUGUCAUUAAUUUGGUGUUGCGGGAAAUCAGGACUGUUACUUUGAAAAAAUUAGAGUGUUUAAAGCAGGCUAACGCUUGAAUACAUUAGCAUGGAAUAAUGAAAUAGGACGUUAAUCCUAUUUUGUUGGUUUCUAGGAUCGACGUAAUGAUUAAUAGGGAUAGUUGGGGGCAUUAGUAUUCAAUUGUCAGAGGUGAAAUUCUUGGAUUUAUUGAAGACUAACUACUGCGAAAGCAUUUGCCAAGGAUGUUUUCAUUAAUCAAGAACGAAAGUUAGGGGAUCGAAGACGAUCAGAUACCGUCGUAGUCUUAACCAUAAACUAUGCCGACUAGGGAUCGGAUGAUGUUAUUUUUAAUGACUCA
rnacentral:rRNA from 1 species